rnacentral:lncRNA from 1 species
CAUGACAUGAGUCGGUAAACGAAAGCGCCCCGCAUCGAAUCGCAUUCAUACAGAUUCCGAAUCCGUGAGAGUUGACUCCGAUCUUGCCAACUAGUCCAGCUUCGUUUAGGAAUUGUAAACGAGUCUCUCCGUCCGGUGUUAUAAUAUCCAUAAUAACACCUCGGGAUACAGCUUCUCAAGGAUUGGAAUAAAGAUCUUCGAGCGCUCCUUUGCGUCUUCCCAGGUCUUCAGACCAGCCGUUUCUUGGAAGAAUAUUGUGUACGUUUUGAUUUUGGUGUGGAUCUGCUCUUUUACUUGUUGGCCAUGCUGCAGACCAAUUUCAUACUAUACGUUCCGACAAUUCUGAAGCUAAUAUACCCACACGACAGAAGAAUUGAAAGCGAAAAAAAUUAUUUUUAGCUACUUUGGUUUCGAGAGACCUCAUUUAAACCCAUAAGUGGCACGGAAUUGUGACAAAGUCUAAGGAUAUCCCACGUUGGAGAUUCGCGAUGAAAGAGUGGGCUCCAGGCGGAAAAGAGCGAACCCAUGGGUCUCAGGUUUUGCUUAUAUUGGUCAAUGGUACGAUUUAACAUUGUUUGAUUCGGUAUCAGUCGGACGAUGAACGAUUCUCAUAUUCAGGAUUGAUCUUACAAUUUUCAGAAGGUGGAAUGGUGUCGAAGUGGCGAGACUAAACGAUAUCCCUACAUAGUACUUCGUACGGUAUAUUGUGACGCUAAUCCUAUAUAGACAUAGCCAGCCACUUCGUUAUGUGAAGCGAUCGGAGUUCCCUCAGAGUCACGUGCAUAUUCUCUGAUUGGCUGUCUUCUUUAUCCUUCAAUCGUCCUCAACAGAGCAUCUCGACGACACCUCAUAGUCGGGGAUCAAUUCCUGCGGGAGGGCCGCACCUAGAAUAUACAAAAUCCUAUCUUGCGCCUGCGACACCUCGUACAAGCGCGUGAAGCUCGAGGAUUGCGACCGGAGACCCUCCGAGAUCUCAUUACUCGGAUGCAUCAAGCAUGAGCGUUGACGCGGUUUGAUGCCUCAACAGUCAAGCCUUUACAGAGUAACUAGUUAGUACACGUGCUACUAUGGUACAGCAGGUGUCGAUUGCUUAGGCUAUACGUAGAACCACUGGUGACAUAACUAUUAACCAAACACACUUAGUUAACUAGUCAGGUACAUUAUUUGAGCACAUUAGGCAAGACUUUCCAAUCGUAAACACCGGCUCGCCCCAUUUUUCAUUAGCAUACCGAGAGCGCGCUAGUUAACUAGUUAUGGUAGUUAGCCUUUGUAUUACGUACUACGUAAGUUAUCCAUCAUUGGAGGAAGCAAAAUGACUUGCCA